rnacentral:hammerhead_ribozyme from 1 species
GUAUUGAUGAGGAGUGCAAAAUUAGGACGAAACAGUUGUCCAUUAC